rnacentral:rRNA from 1 species
AACGAACGCUGGCGGCAGGCUUAACACACGCAAGUCGAACGGGUGCAGCAAUGCAUCAGUGGCAGACGGGUGAGUAACACGUGGGAACCUUCCUAGGGGUACGGAACAACUCAGGGAAACUUGAGCUAAUACCGUAUACGUCCGUGAGGAGAAAGAUUUAUCGCCCUUAGACGGGCCCGCGUCGGAUUAGCUAGUUGGUGGGGUAACGGCCUACCAAGGCGACGAUCCGUAGCUGAUCUUAGAGGAUGAUCAGCCACACUGGGACUGAGACACGGCCCAGACUCCUACGGGAGGCAGCAGUGGGGAAUCUUGGACAAUGGGGGCAACCCUGAUCCAGCCAUGCCGCGUGAGUGAAGAAGGUCUUCGGAUUGUAAAGCUCUUUUGCCAGGGACGAUAAUGACGGUACCUGGAGAAUAAGCCCCGGCAAACUUCGUGCCAGCCGCCGCGGUAAAAC